rnacentral:rRNA from 1 species
AGUUUGAUCCUGGCUCAGAACGAACGCUGGCGGCAGGCUUAACACAUGCAAGUCGAGCGGUAGCACGGGGGAGCUUGCUCCCUGGGUGACGAGCGGCGGACGGGUGAGUAAUGUCUGGGAAACUGCCUGAUGGAGGGGGAUAACUACUGGAAACGGUAGCUAAUACCGCAUAACGUCGCAAGACCAAAGAGGGGGACCUUCGGGCCUCUUGCCAUCAGAUGUGCCCAGAUGGGAUUAGCUAGUAGGUGGGGUAAUGGCUCACCUAGGCGACGAUCCCUAGCUGGUCUGAGAGGAUGACCAGCCACACUGGAACUGAGACACGGUCCAGACUCCUACGGGAGGCAGCAGUGGGGAAUAUUGCACAAUGGGCGCAAGCCUGAUGCAGCCAUGCCGCGUGUGUGAAGAAGGCCUUCGGGUUGUAAAGCACUUUCAGCGAGGAGGAAGGUGGUGAGCUUAAUACGCUCAUCAAUUGACGUUACUCGCAGAAGAAGCACCGGCUAACUCCGUGCCAGCAGCCGCGGUAAUACGGAGGGUGCAAGCGUUAAUCGGAAUUACUGGGCGUAAAGCGCACGCAGGCGGUUUGUUAAGUCAGAUGUGAAAUCCCCGGGCUCAACCUGGGAACUGCAUUUGAAACUGGCAAGCUAGAGUCUCGUAGAGGGGGGUAGAAUUCCAGGUGUAGCGGUGAAAUGCGUAGAGAUCUGGAGGAAUACCGGUGGCGAA